ensembl:lncRNA
UUGGAAAGGAAAUACCCACUGCCAUAUGCGAGUUUACCAUUUCCGUAAUAAUGUCGGGUUUACCUUACCAAUCUGAACCCAGUCUGAUAAUGAUGCAUCGGCAGAUCAACCCGAACCACCAUCGCAAGCACGACGAGAACAGGACGUUUCUCAGCGCAUGCCGGAUGUGCGCUAAUUUGUGCCCACCCCGAGGGAAGUGGAACAAUGAGGUGGACCUGAUACGUAAUGCAGCGCCAAGUUUUGUGGAUGACACAGUGCGCUACUGAAGACACCUGGUCCACCUGAAGGGCAUGACAGACACAAGGAAAGAAGCACAGAACAUAGAACCCGACAAAGGAGAGCAGCAGAGAACUACAUGCAUGUUGGGAUGUGUUCUGGCAGUAAUGACUCAUUUCACCUAUGUGGUACAAACACCUGGAGCAAACUGAGUCACCUCACAUAACAACCUUCUCACCCCUUGCUAGAACUAUAAAGAAGGAACCCUCUGCAAGUUGAAUCUUCCAUCACGUCUGACAUAUUGAAAUAUGGAAAGUUGCUGGUGUAGUGCUCGUGGGCAAAGCCAGUGACAUACGGACGCAGGCAUGAACACACACAGACACACACACAACUUGGUCAGCACAGAUGAGUUGUGGGAAAACAAGCAGCUGCAGGAGGAAGAAUGGGCCAUAAGGCUCGACUGCUUGCCAAAUUUCAUCAUCUAUUAUGGAUCGCCUGAGAAGCUCGCUCCACUGCGAGCAGGGCCGUGCUUCUGAAACGCAUGCAACUGCGAAUCAAUGCUCAACACCAAGACGCUGGCAUCUGAUAUUUAGCUUGAGUAGGUUUAUCUAGGAUUAAACAGAAAUAAGAGUGGUUCAGUUAAACCACUUUUAGUUAAACUGCCAUAUGGUUUCAUAUACACAAUAACAUGCUGUAAAUUAGGCAUUUUAUUUUACGGUUAUUCUUUUUAUGCUGGGAGGCACACUUUGAAUUAGAGCUAUGUCCCAAUCUACUGGACUUGUUACUGUAGCUAACAAGAAGACUGUCUCACGUUUCUUAACAUACUGAACAUAUUUUGCUUUAUCACAUAUGUUUAUUCAGUAUUGGUACUUUUACUUGACAUUGUUGAGGACACUACUUUAAUGCCGCUAUAAAAUGCGCAAUGGGUUCAAUCACUGCAAAAAAUUCCACCUUAGCAAAUAAAAAUUUGUUGAAUAUAGUAAAAUAUAUCCAGUAUUCCCUGUUAUAAGAAUACAAUAAACCAAAUACAUGAUUAGUAAUCUAAUAUCUAGACAUUUUUACUGACUAAUUUCAAACUUGAAAUAGUCUUGUUCUAUUGGUAAAUCAUCAAUAAAACCAUUUUCUGUACCACCUAUCCUACACAGGGUGGCAGGGAGCCCACCCCAGGGAACUUGGGGCACAAGGCAGGGGACACCUCUGGAUGGGGUGCCAACCCAUCGCAGGGCAUAUUCACACACCCUCAUUUAGAUAUGCCAAUGCCUACAAUGCAUGUCUUUGGACUGGGGGAGGAAACUGGAGUACCCGGAGGAAACCCCAAAAGCACAGGGAUAACAUGCAAGCUCCAUGCACACAGGACAGAGGUGGGAUUCGAACCCAGAUGAGAAAAGCAUCUAAAAACAGGCUGAAUUACCAUAGUUUUGCUUUAUAGUAAUCUCAUAAUAAGAAGUAUUAAAUAUAAAUUUGCACAUAUUCAAGAUUUACUUGCUAAGAUACUGUAUUAUGUAUUUAUUCAGUUUGUAGUGAUGAUAUUGCAUCCAAAGACAACCAAUGACAAAGUUCUGGCAGUGUGAGAAGUUUUUAUUUCAAAUCUCGGAACAUUUCUUCGAUGCUCAUCUAAAAGUCACCAAAAUGACAACCGGAUAGGAUUACAUGAAACUCACAGGAAAGCUACAAACAUGGUAUUGGCGAUGGCAAAACAUGAAUGAAACCUGCUAAUGGACAGAAAAAUAUCCUUAUUACCUCAAGCUUACUUUUAAAAAUGUUAUGUUUGCUUCCCUAUAUUCUGCACAGACCUGGAUCUGUUGAUUGAUGAUGUAAGCAGAACCUAGUCAUUUUGUUAAGUAAUAUCAUCUGACAUGGAGAACGUUAUUUCAGAGUGUUAUUUGGCCGAUAUUUUUAUUGGAAAAAUCUCAUACUGUCUAACAAGUAGUCAUCUGAAAAACUCUUUAUAUAGCACAGUGCAUUAGGCACAAACCUGAACAUCUUGAACAAGCAGGCAUUUUUUGUUUUGUUUUGUUUUGUUUUGGUGUGCCCUGAAGAAACUAGCAUCCUGUUGUGGGUUUGUGCAGCUUUUUUCGGCUGGACAACUCUGGCAUGUGCCACCUCCACCCAGCAGUCAAUUGCCUUGUAAAUCACAGGACCUGGGUAAUAAAAACUGAUUUGUAUAUCACCAGG